rnacentral:lncRNA from 1 species
GGUUAAGAAGCUGCCUUGUCAGAUCACCAGCUACCUGGUGGCGCACACCCUAGGGCGCCGGAUGCUGUAUCCAGGCUCUGUGUACCUGCUGCAGAAGGCCCUCAUGCCUGUGCUGCUGCAGGGCCAGGCCCGACUGGUGGAAGAGUGUAAUGGGCGCCGGGCAAAGCUGCUGGCCUGUGAUGGCAAUGAGAUUGACACCAUGUUUGUGGACCGGCGGGGGACAGCUGAGCCCCAGGGACAGAAGCUGGUAAGAGGGAGCAGAGAGCCCAGAGGUGGGGUGAGUGUGAGGAAGGCAGUAGAGGUCUGGGGACCCCAAUGCUAUAGCACCUCCCUGAAGGAACCACUACUGGGGAUAAUCUCAUGUCCUAGCUCCACGCUAA